rnacentral:rRNA from 1 species
GGUGAACGCUGGCGGCGUGCUUAAGACAUGCAAGUCGAACGGGCUCUUCGGAGCCAGUGGCGCACGGGUGAGUAACGCGUAACUGACCUACCCCAAAGUCGCGGAUAACGAUUCGAAAGAAUCGCUAAUACGUGAUGUGCUGUCAGAUCCUGUUCUGCCAGUAAAGAUUUAUUGCUUUGGGAUGGGGUUGCGUUCCAUCAGCUAGUUGGUGGGGUAAAGGCCCACUAAGGCGACGACGGAUCGCCGGCCUGAGAGGGUGGCCGGCCACAGGGGCACUGAGACACGGGUCCCACUCCUACGGGAGCCAGCAGUUAGGACUCUUCUACAAUGGGCGACAGCCUGAUGGAGCGACGCCGCGUGAGGGAUGACGGUCCUCGGAUCGUAAACCUCUGAAUCAGGGACGAAAGACGCGAAAGCGGGAUGACGGUACCUGAGUAAUAGCACCGGCUAACUCCGUG